AACGCUAGCUACAGGCUUAACACAUGCAAGUCGAGGGGCAGCAUGGUCUUAGCUUGCUAAGGCCGAUGGCGACCGGCGCACGGGUGAGUAACACGUAUCCAACCUGCCGUCUACUCUUGGACAGCCUUCUGAAAGGAAGAUUAAUACAAGAUGGCAUCAUGAGUCCGCAUGUUCACAUGAUUAAAGGUAUUCCGGUAGACGAUGGGGAUGCGUUCCAUUAGAUAGUAGGCGGGGUAACGGCCCACCUAGUCUUCGAUGGAUAGGGGUUCUGAGAGGAAGGUCCCCCACAUUGGAACUGAGACACGGUCCAAACUCCUACGGGAGGCAGCAGUGAGGAAUAUUGGUCAAUGGGCGAGAGCCUGAACCAGCCAAGUAGCGUGAAGGAUGACUGCCCUAUGGGUUGUAAACUUCUUUUAUAAAGGAAUAAAGUCGGGUAUGGAUACCCGUUUGCAUGUACUUUAUGAAUAAGGAUCGGCUAACUCCGUGCCAGCAGCCGCGGUAAUACGGAGGAUCCGAGCGUUAUCCGGAUUUAUUGGGUUUAAAGGGAGCGUAGAUGGAUGUUUAAGUCAGUUGUGAAAGUUUGCGGCUCAACCGUAAAAUUGCAGUUGAUACUGGAUAUCUUGAGUGCAGUUGAGGCAGGCGGAAUUCGUGGUGUAGCGGUGAAAUGCUUAGAUAUCACGAAGAACUCCGAUUGCGAAGGCAGCCUGCUAAGCUGCAACUGACAUUGAGGCUCGAAAGUGUGGGUAUCAAACAGGAUUAGAUACCCUGGUAGUCCACACGGUAAACGAUGAAUACUCGCUGUUUGCGAUAUACGGCAAGCGGCCAAGCGAAAGCGUUAAGUAUUCCACCUGGGGAGUACGCCGGCAACGGUGAAACUCAAAGGAAUUGACGGGGGCCCGCACAAGCGGAGGAACAUGUGGUUUAAUUCGAUGAUACGCGAGGAACCUUACCCGGGCUUAAAUUGCAGAUGAAUUACGGUGAAAGCCGUAAGCCGCAAGGCAUCUGUGAAGGUGCUGCAUGGUUGUCGUCAGCUCGUGCCGUGAGGUGUCGGCUUAAGUGCCAUAACGAGCGCAACCCUUGUUGUCAGUUACUAACAGGUUCCGCUGAGGACUCUGACAAGACUGCCAUCGUAAGAUGUGAGGAAGGUGGGGAUGACGUCAAAUCAGCACGGCCCUUACGUCCGGGGCUACACACGUGUUACAAUGGGGGGUACAGAGGGCCGCUACCACGCGAGUGGAUGCCAAUCCCCAAAACCUCUCUCAGUUCGGACUGGAGUCUGCAACCCGACUCCACGAAGCUGGAUUCGCUAGUAAUCGCGCAUCAGCCACGGCGCGGUGAAUACGUUCCCGGGCCUUGUACACACCGCCCGUCAAGCCAUGGGAGCCGGGGGUACCUGAAGUGCGUAACCGCGAGGAGCGCCCUAGGGUAAAACUGGUGACUGG
rnacentral:rRNA from 1 species